rnacentral:rRNA from 1 species
GAUGAACGCUGGCGGCGUGCCUAAUACAUGCGAGUCGAGCGAACAGACGAGGAGCUUGCUCCUCUGACGUUAGCGGCGGACGGGUGAGUAACACGUGGAUAACCUACCUAUAAGACUGGGAUAACUUCGGGAAACCGGAGCUAAUACCGGAUAAUAUAUUGAACCGCAUGGUUCAAUAGUGAAAGAGGGUUUUGCGGUAACUAAUAGAGGGAUCCGCGCCGCAUUAGCUAGUUGGUAAGGUAACGGCUUACCAAGGCAACGAUGCGUAGCCGACCUGAGAGGGUGAUCGGCCACACUGGAACUGAGACACGGUCCAGACUCCUACGGGAGGCAGCAGUAGGGAAUCUUCCGCAAUGGGCGAAAGCUUGACGGAGCAACGCCGCGUGAGUGAUGAAGGUCUUCGGAUCGUAAAACUCUGUUAUUAGGGAAGAACAAAUGUGUAAGUAACUAUGCACGUCUUGACGGUACCUAAUCAGAAAGCCACGGCUAACUACGUG